rnacentral:misc_RNA from 1 species
GUUUGGUGUAGCAAAUGGAGUGUCUAUUAGGUGGUUUUGGAGCCAAAAAGGAGGGGUUUAAGAGAGCAGGAACUGUGGCCAUUAGGUAUUCGUUUAUUUUUCUUCUGUUCUCUGUGUCUGUACGCGUUCUUUGAUAGGCUGAAGCUAGGUUGCUCUGGUUCUUCGUCCGUGACUCCGNNNCACAUGUUUGGUUUGCUAUGCUGCAGAGGAAGUUAAGGUGGUGGCGACGACGACAAGCGAC